rnacentral:rRNA from 1 species
UACGUAGGGUGCAAGCGUUGUCCGGAAUUAUUGGGCGUAAAGAGCUCGUAGGCGGUUUGUCGCGUCGGCUGUGAAAACCCAUGGCUCAACCGUGGGCUUGCAGCCGAUACGGGCAGGCUAGAGUUCGGUAGGGGAGACUGGAAUUCCUGGUGUAGCGGUGAAAUGCGCAGAUAUCAGGAGGAACACCGGUGGCGAAGGCGGGUCUCUGGGCCGAUACUGACGCUGAGGAGCGAAAGCGUGGGGAGCGAACAGG